rnacentral:rRNA from 1 species
GUGGGGAAUCUUAGACAAUGGGGGAAACCCUGAUCUAGCCAUGCCGCGUGAGCGAUGAAGGCCUUAGGGUUGUAAAGCUCUUUCAGCUGGGAAGAUAAUGACGGUACCAGCAGAAGAAGCCCCGGCUAACUCCGUGCCAGCAGCCGCGGUAAUACGGAGGGGGCUAGCGUUGUUCGGAAUUACUGGGCGUAAAGCGCACGUAGGCGGAACAGAAAGUCAGAGGUGAAAUCCCAGGGCUCAACCUUGGAACUGCCUUUGAAACUCCUGUUCUUGAGUUCGAGAGAGGUGAGUGGAAUUCCGAGUGUAGAGGUGAAAUUCGUAGAUAUUCGGAGGAACACCAGUGGCGAAGGCGGCUCACUGGCUCGAUACUGACGCUGAGGUGCGAAAGCGUGGGGAGCAAACAGGAUUAGAAACCCGUGUAGUCC